ensembl:misc_RNA Metazoa_SRP Metazoan signal recognition particle RNA
GCCAGGCAUGGUGGCGCAUGCCUCUAGUCCCAGCUACUCGGGAGGCUGAGGUGGGAGGAUCGCUUAAGCCCAGGAGUUCUGGGCUGUAAUGUGCUAUGCCCAUUGGGUGUCUGCACUAAGUUAGGCAUCAAUAUGGUGACCUCCUGGGAGUGGGGGACCACCAGGUUGCCUAAGGAGGGGUGAAGCGGCCCAGGUCGGAAACGGAGCAGGUCAAAACUCCCAUGCAGAUCAGUAGUGGGAUUGUGCCUGUGAAGAGACACUGCACUCCAGCCUGGGCAACAUAGUGAGACCCCGUAUCUA